rnacentral:rRNA from 1 species
AUUGAACGCUGGCGGCAUGCUUUACACAUGCAAGUCGAGCGGUAACAGGCCGCAAGGUGCUGACGAGUGGCGAACGGGUGAGUAAUGCAUCGGAACGUGCCCAGUCGUGGGGGAUAACGCAGCGAAAGCUGCGCUAAUACCGCAUACGAUCUGUGGAUGAAAGCGGGGGACCGAAAGGCCUCGCGCGAUUGGAGCGGCCGGUGUCAGAUUAGGUAGUUGGGGGGGUAAAGGCCCACCAAGCCAACGAUCUGUAGCUGGUCUGAGAGGACGACCAGCCACACUGGGACUGAGACACGGCCCAGACUCCUACGGGAGGCAGCAGUGGGGAAUUUUGGACAAUGGGCGCAAGCCUGAUCCAGCAAUGCCGCGUGCAGGAAGAAGGCCUUCGGGUUGUAAACUGCUUUUGUACGGAACGAAACGGUCCGGGUUAAUACCCUGGGCUAAUGACGGUACCGUAAGAAUAAGCACCGGCUAACUACGUGCCAGCCGCCGCCGUAAAAC